UUCCUAUCACAAUGGAAAUAGGUUGCACCUGCCUCAUGAUCCAGCUUUGCAGCGUUCCUUACAGUUGGCUCUAAGAAGUAGAGAUGAUCAUGAUAAUGAUGAUGCAAGGAGGCACCAACAUGAUGAUCCUGAUGAAGAUGAUCAAGAGAUUGAAACUGAUGAUCAUGAUGAAUUUGAGGAGAAUCAUGCUUCACAUGGGGAUUGCAGGGGCAUACAUGGGAUGUUAGGGGGUUCUGCAAAGAGGCCCAGACAAGGCCAGGGCCAUGAAGAUGCUUGUUUUGGGAAUUCAUCUCAGGAG
rnacentral:lncRNA from 1 species